CCAGACGAGUGUAACGUGUAAUGUAAUUCAUCGUGCAAUGUAACACGAAUUCUACGUGUGGACGGCACUACGAGCAUUACAUGUAACGCUCGGGGUUUAUCCAUCGGCUGUCGGUUUGGACAAUUCGCUUUGAGUUCGUGUGCCGUCCACACUGUUGACGCUAAAUUACACGUAAUCUUACAUAACACGUUACACCCGUCUGGACCCGGCUUUAAAAAUAGAAUAUUCAUAUUGUCAC